rfam:Microbacterium azadirachtae strain DSM 23848 RL72_contig000069, whole genome shotgun sequence.
CGGGUCGGCCGGACGGUCGCGUGGCGGGAGACCGCCCCGAGGAACGUCCGGGCUCCACAGGGCAGGGCGGUGGGUAACACCCACCCGGAGCAAUCCGCGAGAAAGUGCCACAGAGAGAAGACCGCCCCGCAAGGGGUAAGGGUGAAAGGGUGGUGUAAGAGACCACCGGGGGCCGUGGUGACACGGCCCGCCAGGUAAACCUCGCCCGGAGCAAGGCCAGACAGGGGAUGAUGACGCGGCCCGCCGAGUCCCCGGGUAGGCCGCUGGAGCGGCGCGGCAACGCGUCGCCGAGAGAGAUGACCGUCGAAGGGGCUCGCCCCGGAACAGAACCCGGCGUACAGGCCGGCCCGUUCC